UAUACUUUAGCAUAAAAAUGUAUUAAAUUUAGAAUUUAAAGAUUAGAAAGUAUAU
rnacentral:tRNA from 1 species